CGAACGGGUGAGUAACACGUGAGUAACCUGCCCUCUUCUCUUGGAUAACUGCUUGAAAGGGCGGCUAAUACGGGAUGUUCUGGCUGCCUCGCAUGGGGUGGUUUGGAAAGAUUCGGCCUGGUUUUGGUUGUUUUGGUGGGGGAUGGGCUCGCGGCUUAUCAGCUUGUUGGUGGGGUGAUGGCCUACCAAGGCGGUGACGGGUAGCCGGCCUGAGAGGGUGACCGGCCACAUUGGGACUGAGAUACGGCCCAG
rnacentral:rRNA from 1 species